UACGUAGGGAGCAAGCGUUGUCCGGAAUCAUUGGGCGUAAAGAGCGCGUAGGUGGCUUUAUAAGUCCGUUGUGAAAGUCAAAGGCUCAACCUUUGAAAGCCGAUGGAUACUGUGAAGCUAGAGUACGGAAGAGGCGAGUGGAAUUCCUGGUGUAGCGGUGGAAUGCGCAGAUAUCAGGAGGAACACCGGUGGCGAAGGCGGGUCUCUGGGCAUUACCUGACGCUGAGGAGCGAAAGUGUGGGGAGCGAACAGG
rnacentral:rRNA from 1 species